UACAGAGGGUGCGAGCGUUGUCCGGAAUCACUGGGCGUAAAGGGCGCGUAGGUGGCGCGACAAGUCGGUGGUGAAAGUUCGACGCUCAACGUCGAAUCGGCCACCGAUACUGUUGGGCUUGAGCACUGUAGAGGCUAAUGGAAUUCCGGGUGUAGCGGUGGAAUGCGUAGAGAUCCGGAAGAACACCGGUGGCGAAGGCGGUUAGCUGGGCAGUUGCUGACACUGAGGCGCGACAGCGUGGGUAGCAAACGGG
rnacentral:rRNA from 1 species